UACGUAGGGUGCAAGCGUUGUCCGGAAUUAUUGGGCGUAAAGAGCGUGUAGGCGGCCCGAUUAGUCCGCUGUGAAAGCCCCGGGCUCAACCUGGGAAUGGCAAUGGAAACUGGCGGGCUAGAGUGUGGCAGAGGGGGGUGGAAUUCCGCGUGUAGCAGUGAAAUGCGUAGAGAUGCGGAGGAACACCGAUGGCGAAGGCAGCCCCCUGGGCUGACACUGACGCUCAGGCACGAAAGCGUGGGGAGCAAACAGG
rnacentral:rRNA from 1 species